rnacentral:rRNA from 1 species
CCUACGGGUGGCAGCAGUGAGGAAUAUUGGUCAAUGGGCGGAAGCCUGAACCAGCCAAGUAGCGUGCAGGAUGAAAGCCCUACGGGUUGUAAACCGCUUUUACACGGGAAUAAAACGCCCCACGUGUGGAGGUCUGCAGGUACCGUACGAAUAAGGGCCGGCUAAUUCCGUGCCAGCAGCCGCGGUAAUACGGAAGGCGCGAGCGUUAUCCGGAUUUAUUGGGCUUAAAGGGAGCGUAGGCGGGCGUUAAAGUCAGCUGUAAAAUCGCGCGGCUCAACCGGCCCGCGCAGUUGAAACUGGGGGGCUUGAGUGCGCGAAAGGCAGGCGGAAUUCGUGGUGUAGCGGUGAAAGGCAUAGAUAUCACGAGGAACCCCGAUUGCGAAGGCAGCGUGCCGGGGCGAGACUGACGCUGAGGCUCGAAAGUGCGGGUAUCAAACAGGAUUAGAUACCCUGGUAGUC